AGCGAUUACCUGCUCACCCAGCCCUGAUGUAAUUAAAAAUGGCAGGCUAGGGGCUCUGUUUCCCCCGGCUCUGGCAGAGAAACCUGGGUUUCGACUUGUGAAGCUUGAGGUUGGAUGUGGGAAUUGGCUUGGAGUCAUAGGCGAUGAGAGGGACAUUAGGAUAUUAUGAAGCCCGUGAACUCAACUCCUGAGAAGGACGCAGCAGAGCGAGAGAAAAGAUGGAAUAAAAAGGCCUACCUCAUUGGGCUCGUGUGGGUGAGGAGAACUGAAGAGUCUGAGAGCGCGGCACGAGCCAGAGGCUACGGAAAACACUGCCCUCCUACACUCCACCUUGGAGAGACCCAGAAAAGAACAAGCUUCAUUUGUAAAAAAGGAAAACAACUCAGGCAAUGGGGGUGGCUUAAAGGCACUCUACAGUGUGCAGAUGCCUUCCACUUCUUCCAUCUGCCCUGUCUCUCCAAGAACCCCUAUGGCCCCGGUCUCAGAACAGAGCUGAGUGCAGAAAUGAAAAUCUAUGGCUCUGUGUUCCAAAACGAUGAAGAAUUUCAAGAUGGUGGCAGUGGUAAAAUCUUUCUCCAGGAAAAAUCUGUCCUUGGCCCAAUGUGUAAACACUUGCUGAGUGGAGUACCUGUACCAACAUGAAAUGACACGAAUUUAAGUGACGCUCAACAACGAAAAGCAAAAAGAACCAAAGAGGAAGCAACUGAAACAACAUCUGGAUGUAUUUAAAAAUAUACAAUGCCUCCAAAAUCAGGUGUCAUUAAUGAAAAUUCUGAAGAAAUGCCACCGGACAUAGCCAACGCACCUACGCUGUUGUUAUUCAUUUCCUGCUUUUCACAGAAAACAAUUUUGUUGCAUGGAAGAUCGUGAACUUCAAAGGGCAGAGGGGAAACUGUCCCUUGGCCUCUACCCCUCCAAGGCCCCACUUUUUUGUCAACACUCCUUGGACGCAGCAGAAGUAUGAACAUAAUAUGGUCCUGAAUGAGGCUGAGUCUUUGGGCGCAGAAGACCCGGGUUAAUAAAAAUAGGAAGGUAAGAAAAGAAAAGAAAAAUCAAGACACAUCAUAGGACUAAAUUCCUAUUAUUUAUCCACUCAGGAUUGACCACCCCUUUGGGCCAGAUAGUUGUACCCCCAUGUACCAGGUGGGCACAUGAAGACACAAGAAGUGCUGUGAUGGUUCAUUUUGCACGUCACCUUGCGUGGAGUAUGCCAACUCAUUGUUUGGUCAAACACUAGUCUGGACAUGGUGGUAAAGGUAUUUUUUAGAUGAGAUUAACACUUAAAUCAGUAAAGCAGGUUACCCACCAUACUACGGGUGGGCCCUGUCCAAUCAGUUGAAGGCAUUAAGAACAAAGAUUGAGGUUUCCUAAAGAAGAUGGAAUUCUCCUUGAGACUACAACAUAGAAACCCUAUCUGAGUUUCCAGCCUGUUGCCCUGUGGAAUUCAAACUCAGGACUCCGGUCUAUGACAUUAACCCUCACUUAACUUUUCAGCCUGCCAGCCUGCCCUAUGGAUUUCGGACUUGCCAGCCACACAAUUCCUUAAAAUAAAUCUCUCCGUC
ensembl:lncRNA DRAIC downregulated RNA in cancer, inhibitor of cell invasion and migration